UACGUAGGGGGGCUAGCGUUGUCCGGAAUCAUUGGGCGUAAAGAGCGCGUAGGCGGCCAGAUAAGUCCGGUGUGAAAGUCACAGGCUCAACCUGUGAAUGCCGCUGGAAACUGUCUGGCUAGAGUCCGGAAGGGGGCGAGUGGAAUUCCUGGUGUAGCGGUGAAAUGCGCAGAUAUCAGGAGGAACACCAAUGGCGAAGGCAGCUCGCUGGGACGGUACUGACGCUGAGGCGCGAAAGCGUGGGGAGCAAACAGG
rnacentral:rRNA from 1 species